rnacentral:lncRNA from 12 species
GAACUCUUGUGAUGUAGAGGUUAGAGGAGACUUAGUUGAGAGUGCUUUAUCUUGUAAGUAGUUUAGGGAUUUUUUUUCUCUUCACUAAAAUGGUCAGAAAUCCUUUACAGCCAAGAGUUAGUGACAAUCAAGCUCUGAUACAGCUUUACUCUGGGUAUUUCUGAGGCAACUGCAGUGCCCACUGAUAUGGCUGACACUCUGAUGGGAAUUUGGUCUUGGCUGAAGAAUACACAUCAAUGAAAACAGAAUCGAGGACUCAUUAUCAAGCCCAAAAGAAACAUCUGUGACUGAAGGCUCAGGAAAGUGCUGCAGUCUCUGCAGAGGCUUGUCCUGAUGAAGGGUGCCACAGACCUCAGCACUGCUGCAGUUUGGCAGGCACUGCUAGGUGAAGGUGUCCUGAUUUCUGCUUGGCAACCACGAGUCUGCAAGAGGUCACCCGG